AUUAAACGCUGGCGGCAUGCCUUACACAUGCAAGUCGAACGGCAGCACGGGGGCAACCCUGGUGGCGAGUGGCGAACGGGUGAGUAAAGCAUCGGAACGUGCCCUGGAGUGGGGGAUAACGUAGCGAAAGUUACGCUAAUACCGCAUAUUCUGUGAGCAGGAAAGCAGGGGAUCGCAAGACCUUGCGCUCUGGGAGCGGCCGAUGUCGGAUUAGCUAGUUGGUGGGGUAAAGGCCUACCAAGGCGACGAUCCGUAGCGGGUCUGAGAGGAUGAUCCGCCACACUGGGACUGAGACACGGCCCAGACUCCUACGGGAGGCAGCAGUGGGGAAUUUUGGACAAUGGGCGCAAGCCUGAUCCAGCCAUGCCGCGUGAGUGAAGAAGGCCU
rnacentral:rRNA from 1 species